GGAUAAAGACAACGGUAAUAUUCACCAAUAGCACCAGCACAAUCACUGGUACAUAUACGUGAGUAUUGACUAUUGAGGCUGCUGAGGUAUGAGUCACUAUGUAUUGAUGAUGCCGAAGGUACUGAAAAAACGAACUCUGAUUCAGAGCAACCUGAAGGAAGAUCAGGCAUUGUGCAGCUACUAGUCUGCUUAGGCUCCAGUGGUAUAUUGUGCCUCUUGUUAAUGUGGUGGAGUAAUUGAAGCAAAGCAGUGUCAUUCAUUUCUUUCUCUUUAUCAAUGACAGCUCCUUCAGUGCAUGCAGCAAUGAGGAA